CAUGUAGGCGGUCCGUCAAGUCUGAUGUGAAAGCCCGGGGCUCAACCCCGGAAGUGCAUUGGAAACUGGCAGACUUGAGUACGGGAGAGGAAAGUGGAAUUUCGAGUGUAGGGGUGAAAUCCGUAGAUAUUCGAAGGAACACCAGUGGCGAAGGCGGCUUUCUGGACCGAUACUGACGCUGAGAUGCGAAAGCGUGGGGAGCAAACAGGAUUAGAUACCCUGGUAGUC
rnacentral:rRNA from 1 species